GCUGGACCAGCCUGCGUAUCACGGUUGCCAUAGAAACCUGACGUCAUUGCGGCGACCGUGGAGACUUUUAAAAUAGAGGCCAACAUGACCGGGCAAGAAGAGCAGGGUCCUUCCUUCAGGUGUUUGGGACUUAACUGAGGGUGUGGGUGCCCCGCGGUGGGGGCUGAACCUUCCUGGGGUGUGGAGAGACGAAGGAGCCCAGAUCCAAGUUCCUUCGUUCCCGCUUUGGCACAAGUUGCCCGGGCGGUCUCAUGUGAGAGAGAGAGAGCUGGGACCCUCCUGGCCCCAGUGAGUGUGGUGUCUUGCUCCGGGUGUCCUGGGGCAACUUUCUAUAUAAAGGCGGGACGUGGGGAGGAUGAGACAGUUAACGUGAGACAAGGGUGUUGACUGUGCAGCGCAGAACCAGUAGUUUGUAGAGAAGAACCAGGUGUGAUGUUGAAUCUGCUAGACAGGCUACUGAAGCAAAAGUCAAGAGAUCCAGAUCCCAUCAUGGGGACACUUUAGAUUGAUACCGGAAAAGCCAUUUCCUAUUGAGCCCAAAAUGAAGAGAGUGCAAAUAAAGAGAAGGCAGGAAUCACAAGCCCUUGACAGACACAUUGCCACCUACAGGACCCUGCACCCAGAUUUCAUCUGCACAAUCAGCUUCUUCAAAGAGAGAGAGGCUGUCGAGUUAUUCAGUCACAUGAUUAUGGAUGGUCUCUUAGUUUUCUGCCACGGACAGCUAAUUGCUUCAUGGUAUGUGUUUUACACAUCACCCUCAGAGGGCCAGUUCAUCUCAAAGAGCCUUAAGAUACCUCCCUCGGUCUCUGUGUAGUGAUGUUACUUCCCUACUGUCACUUUUAAAGCAAGCAAAACUCCUGACAAUGGGGAGAUGCUUUGUUUCCCAAACUGGGCAGAAUUCCACAAAUCACCCUUGUAUGAGGUUAGUUCCUCUAAUUCUUAAUAUUUCUCAGGUGGUGGCCUGAAGACUGAAGGUGUUUUGCUUUCAGGGGAAGGCAAGAGCCAGAGGGGAGGGGUGUGUGGAGGCAUUUCUGGUAUGCAGGACCAGCCUAAGCAUGCUGGUUGCCAUAGAAACCUACCAUCAUUAUGGCAACCGUGACACUUUUUAUCUUUUUUUCUUUUUUAAUUUUUUAAAAUUUCAAUAGUUUUUGUGGAACAGGUGUUAUUUGGUUACAUGGAUGAGUUAUUUAUUGGUGAAUUCUGAGAUUUUGGUGCACCUGUCAUCUCAGCAGUAUAUACUGUACCCAAUAUAUUGUCUUUUAUCCCUCACUACCCUCACAAUAUCCCCCUCCCCAAGUCCCCACAGUCCAUUAUAUCACUCUAUAGAGUGAUUUUUGCAUCCUCAUAGCUUAGCUCCCACUUAUAAGUGAGAACAUAUGGUAUUUGGUUUUCCAUUCCUGAGUUAUUUCCCUUAGAAUAAUGGCCUCCAGUUCCAUCCAAGUUGUUGCAAAAGACAUUAUUUCAUUCCUUUUUAUGGCUGAAUAGUAUUCUGUGGUGUAUAUAUAUGCCACAUUUUCUUUAUCCACUCUUUGGUUGAUGAGCACUUUGGUUGGGUUCUAUAUCCUUGUAAUUGCGAAUUGUGCUGCUAUAGACGUGCAUGUGCAUGUGUUUUUUUCAUGUAAUUACUUCUUUUCCUUUGGGUAUGUAGUAGUGGGAUUGCUAGAUCGAAUGGUAAAUCUACUUUUAGUUCCUUAAGGAAUCUCCAUACUGUUUUCAAUAGUGGUUGUACUAAUUUACAUUCCCAGCAGCAAUGUAAAAGUGCUCCGUUUUCACCACAUCCAUGCCAACAUCGAUUGUUUUUUGACUUUUUAAUUAUGGACAUUCUUGCAGGCAUAAGGUGGUAUCUCAUUGUGGUUUUAAUUUGCAUUUCCCUGAUGAUUAGUGAUAUUGAGCAUUUUUUCAUUAUUUUUGUUGGCUGUUUGUAUAUCUUCUUUUGAGAAAUGUCUAUUCAUGUCCUUUGCCUACUUUUUGAUGGGAUUAUUUCUUUUUUCUUGCUGAUUUGAGUUUCUUGUAUAUUCUGGAUACCAGUCCUUUGUUGGAUGCAUAGUUUGAAAGUAUUUUCUCCCACUCUGUGGGUUGUCUGUUUACUCUGCUGAAUAUUUUUUUUUUUAGCUGUGCAGAAGCUUUUUGAUUAGGUCCCAUUUAUUUAUUUUUGUUUUUGUUGCAUUUGCUUUUGGGGUCUUAGUUACAAAUUCUUUGCCUAAGCCAAUGUCCACAGGAGUUUCUCUGAUGUUAUCUUCCAGAAUUUUUAUGGCUUCAGGUCUUAGAUUUAAGUGUUUGAUGCAUCUUAAGUUGACUUUUGUAUAAUGUGAGAGACGGGGAUCCAGUUUCAUUCUUCUUCAUGUGGCUAGCCAGUUUUCCCAGCACCAUUUAUUGAAUAGGGGGUCCUUUCCUCAAUUUAUGUUUUAGUAUGCUUUGUCAAAGAUCAGUUCGCUAUAAGUAUUUGGCUUUAUUUCUGGGUUCUCCAUUCUUUUCCAUUGGUUUAAGUGCCUAUUUUUAUACCAGUGCCAUGCUGUUUUGGUAGCUAUAGCCUUGUAGUAUAAUUUGACGUCUGGUAAUGUGAUGCUUCCAGAUUUGUUCUUUCUGCUUAGAAUUAUUUUGACUAUGUGGGCUGGGCAGGUUUUUUGUUUGUUUGUUUGUUUUGUUUUUUUGUUUUUUUGAGAUGGAGUCUCACUUUGUUGCCCAGGCAGGAGUGCAAUGGCAAAAUCUCCACUCAGCACAAUCUCUGCCUCCCAGUUUCAAGUAAUUCUCCUGCCUCAGCCUCCCAAGUAGCCGGGAUUACAGGUGCCCACCACCAGGCCCAG
rnacentral:lncRNA from 1 species